AUGGGUCCCAUGGGGCCAGAAGGUCCAAAAGGUGAUGCUGGAGUCCCAGGGGCCCCUGGCAUUCCAGGAUACUCCUAUGGUGGAGGAUCCAGAAGCGCUCCGGGACCACCAGGUCCACCUGGACCCCCAGGGCCUCCCGGAGCACCUGGUUCAUCAGGAGGCGGCUCACCAGAUGUUGUUCAACAGAUUUCAGACUACCUUAGAAGUGAACCCAUCAGAGAAUACCUGACUGGACCUCCAGGCCCACCUGGACCACCAGGAUCUCCCGGAUCAGGCUCUGAAGAUUCAUUAGCCAACCGUGUCAUUGAAUACCUUCAAAGAGAUGAGGUGAGGCAGUACCUGAUUGGUCCUCCAGGGCCCCCAGGACCCCCAGGUGGGCCAGGUGGAUAUGGCUUUAACACUCAGGAAGUUGCUGGACGAGUGCUGAGUCUGUUGAAUGAUGCUGGUUUAACAGGUCUGCCAGGACCUCCCGGUCCCCCAGGACCUCAAGGACCACCAGGAGGCUCUGGAGGAAUAGUGUCUUACGCUGUUAACGAAAACCAACCACAAAUCCGUGCAGAGCCUCAGGAGUAUAUCAAAAGCCACCCAAGCUCUGAUGAGAAUUUGGAUUACGCAGCCAUCGCUAAAAAGGUUUCAGAUUACAUUUUGUCUAAUGGCCUGUUACAAGGUCAAGGUUUGAUAGGGAUUCCAGGAGCACGAGGUCCACGAGGUCCAGCAGGUCCACCAGGUGUACCAGGCAUUGGAUUCCCUGGACCCCCUGGACCUCCGGGAAUCAGUCCAGAACUUCCUUACUCCAACAUGACUGCAAUCAUAGACUACAUUAGAGACCACCGUAUGAUUGGACCACCAGGUAUACCAGGGCAGAAAGGGGAUCAGGGAAAUCCUGGAUUCCCAGGACCAAAAGGUGACAGAGGAUUCACAGGUAUACAAGGCAUCCCAGGCCCCAGUGGCGUCCCAGGAAUCCCAGGAAUGAAAGGAGAGAAGGGAGAGAAGGGUGAGGCCUCAUAUGUCACUCGUCGUCGUCGUCGGAGCACAGUCAUUUAG
ensembl:lncRNA